AAAGGCUUAGUUGAGUUGAGUAUUGUCUUACGAAAGUGCAUUUAAAUGGAGUCAUACCAGAAGAUCCCCAUUCCUUGCAUCACAACUUGGAACACCUACCAGCAAGCCUUGCCAAGUUAACUUUGUGGAAUUCUCAUUUGAAGCGAGAUCCGAUGGGUAUUUUGGAGAAGCUGCCUAAUCUGAGAUUUUUGCAGUUGAAUCAUUCAUAUGAGGGGUCUAAAAUGGUCUGCUCUGCCCAUGGGUUUCCUCAACUUGAGACUCUUACACUUAAAUCAUUUGGUCUAGAACAAUGGGAAAUAGAGGAAGGUGCAAUGCCAUUUCUCAAGGAUUUAUCUUUAACUUUUCUAAGGGAACUGAGGACGAUUCCUGAAGGAUUGAAAUUUGUUUCUUCCCUUCAAAAAUUGGAUCUCUUUGACAUGGCACAAGAAUUUACAAAAAGGGUUAAAGUCAUAGAUGGAGUAGAAGGAGAGGACUUUGACAAGGUGUGCCACAUACCUUCUAUUAUCGUACAUACCUUCGAUUAUUGUCCGUGAAUAAUGAAGCUACCGUACCUUAAGGUGAGCAUUUCUCUUCUCUCCUCAUCGAGGUGAACAUUAUAAUGUUCUCUUUCGCCUGACUAUCUGCUUUUAUAUUAAUUCUCCCUUUUAUCUUCUGUUACUUGGCAGUAUUCAACUCAUACUUUACAAUCAGACUAAGAGUGCAGUUUCCGUGUUUUCAUCCUAUUUGGAGUGGUUUUCCUACACCUUCUCAAAAUAAGGAAUUUUAAAUUGAAUUGUUCCAUAGAUGAUGUAUUCCUGUGUUUAUUUUUUGCUUGUUUACCUCAUGUAAUCUUUGUAUAUUUCUUUUGGAUUUGAAGGAAGAAAAACCAAGGAAAAAAUAUCCUUGAACUUGUAGAAAAUGUGAAGUUUGAAGCAAUAGUAUCACAUGCUUCAACAGUUUCUUUACCUUUCCUGGUUUGUUUUCUUCACUAUAAGAUGCAUCAUCUAGGAUUCUUCAUCACAAGAGUUUUUGUUGCCGUUAUGACUUUCACAUAAAUAUUGGAAUGGUGAGACCUUUAC
rnacentral:misc_RNA from 1 species